CUUCUAGGAAAUGACAAGUUACGCUCUGACAUGCAGUGGUGAUCUGCCAUCUCUGCCUGCUCCCCACAUCGUGCCAGCUGGUCCAUCCCAAUGGGCAGAGUGGCAGGGGCACCGUGGGACCCUCCUCCCCAGCACAGAGCAGAUUCUUCCUCCCAGCCUCUGAGGAAACCACCCCCACUGACACCUUGACCUUGGACUUCCAGCCUCCAGAACUGUGACCUCUGUUGAU
rnacentral:lncRNA from 1 species